GUGACCCUGCUGGAGUGCGGGCGGGACCUCCAGCCCCCCGGGGGAUCCUUCCGCCUCCUCUGCCGAGGCUCCGGGUUCGAUUUUGGCAGUUUUGGCAUGGGCUGGUAUCGACAGAGGCCUGGACAAGGCCUGGAGUACGUUGCACGGAUCAGUGACAGUGGAGGUUACACCGAGUACGCGCCAUCGGUCAAGGGCCGGGUCUCGAUCUCCAGGGACAACGGGCAGAGCUCGGUGACGCUGACCAUGAACAACAUCAAGGACGAGGAUUCCGGAUCCUAUUUCUGUGCCAACGCUUUUUGUGCUGGUUGUUGGGCUCCUGUUAGUCAUGGUGAUGGUGCCUGUGAUGGUGUGAAGCUCCUGCCUAUGCCCGGGUCUCUGGCAGAUCCACAGCAUAGCAAAUUUUUCGAUAUCAAACCCAGAGGUGGGUCCUGCCCCUUCUUCCAGCUGGCCUAG